rnacentral:rRNA from 1 species
CGUAGGGUGCGAGCGUUAAUCGGAAUUACUGGGCGUAAAGCGUGCGCAGGCGGUUGUGUAAGACAGGUGUGAAAUCCCCGGGCUUAACCUGGGAACUGCGCUUGUGACUGCACGGCUAGAGUAUGGCAGAGGGGGGUGGAAUUCCACGUGUAGCAGUGAAAUGCGUAGAGAUGUGGAGGAACACCGAUGGCGAAGGCAGCCCCCUGGGCCAAUACUGACGCUCAUGCACGAAAGCGUGGGGAGCAAACAGGA